UACGUAGGGGGCAAGCGUUGUCCGGAAUCAUUGGGCGUAAAGAGCGUGUAGGCGGCUCGGUAAGUCCGCUGUGAAAGUCCAGGGCUCAACCCUGGAAUGCCGGUGGAAACUGUCGAGCUAGAGUCCGGAAGAGGCGAGUGGAAUUCCUGGUGUAGCGGUGAAAUGCGCAGAUAUCAGGAGGAACACCAAUGGCGAAGGCAGCUCGCUGGGACGGUACUGACGCUGAGACGACGAAGCGUGGGAGCAAACAGG
rnacentral:rRNA from 1 species